GGCUAUAUUGUUAGGUGGUUAGAUUUCAAGCGGCCUUUAUGAAUAUGGCUCAGUGCUUUGGCAGAGACCAAAUAUGCCAGAGAGGAGAGUGUCUCGCCGGCUCUGCACUUUGAAUAUUCUCCUUCACGGCCUAUUUAUCACAAGAAGCUUUUGGGGUUGGCAGUAGAUGAAAACUAUGUGUGCUUAAGGGGGUCUCCAAGAAUACACUGACUCUUCCUCGCUUUAAUGAAAAGGGCCAGUAUCACAGAUCCACAGUAGAAACUGUGUAAUUUUGAAUACCAACCUGGAGGUCAGCGUCUUCCUGAGGCUAAGCCCCCACACCUGCUCAACCCCAGGAUUGAGGCUGGAAGCACCACAUCGAAGCCUAGCAAAGGAGACGCCCUUUUAUUUCAGGCUGCACAGACAUAGUUCCUCAAGGGAAUCCUUUAGAGUGAUUUUUAGGAAACACACUGCUAAAUCCCC
rnacentral:lncRNA from 1 species